CGCGGGGUGGAGCAGCAGGUAGCUCGUCGGGCUCAUAACCCGAAGGUCGUAGGUUCAAAUCCUACCCCCGCAACCA
rnacentral:tRNA from 1 species